rnacentral:rRNA from 1 species
AACUUGGUGCUGACGAGUGGCGGACGGGUGAGUAAUGCAUAGGAAUCUGCCCUUUAGCGGGGGAUAACUCGGGGAAACUCGGGCUAAUACCGCAUACGCCCUACGGGGGAAAGCGGGGGCCUUCGGGCCUCGCACUAUUGGAUGAGCCUAUGUCUGAUUAGUUUGUUGGUGGGGUAAUGGCCUACCAAGGCGACGAUCAGUAGCUGGUCUGAGAGGACGAUCAGCCACACUGGGAUUGAGAUACGGCCCAGACUCCUACGGGAGGCAGCAGUGGGGAAUAUUGGACAAUGGGCGAAAGCCUGAUCCAGCAAUGCCGCGUGUGUGAAGAAGGCCCGAGGGUUGUAAAGCACUUUCAACAGUAAAGAAAAGUUCGGUGCUAAUACCACCGAACCCUGACGUUAGCUGUAGAAGAAGCACUGGCUAACUCCGUGCCAGCAGCCGCGGUAAUACGGAGGGUGCGAGCGUUAAUCGGAAUUACUGGGCGUAAAGCGUGCGUAGGUGGCUUGGUAAGUCGGAUGUGAAAGCCCCGAGCUCAACUUGGGAAUUGCAUUCGAUACUGCUAGGCUAGAGUAUGGUAGAGGGAAGUGGAAUUUCCGGUGUAGCGGUGAAAUGCGUAGAGAUCGGAAGGAACACUAGUGGCGAAGGCGGCUUCCUGGACCAAUACUGACACUGAGGUACGAAAGCGUGGGGAGCAAACAGGAUUAGAUACCCUGGUAGUCCACGCCCUAAACGAUGUCAACUAGCCGUUG